rnacentral:rRNA from 1 species
AGACGGAGGGUGCAAGCGUUAAUCGGAAUUACUGGGCGUAAAGCGCUCGUAGGCGGCUUGUUAAGUCGGAUGUGAAAGCCCCGGGCUCAACCUGGGAACUGCAUUCGAUACUGGCAGGCUAGAGUAUAGUAGAGGCAAGUGGAAUUCCGGGUGUAGCGGUGAAAUGCGUAGAUAUCCGGAGGAACAUCAGUGGCGAAGGCGACUUGCUGGACUAAUACUGACGCUAAGGAGCGAAAGCGUGGGGAGCAAACGGGAUUAGAAACCCCGGUAGUCC